AGUAAAUUGGUUAAGUUAGAAAGGGCGCACGGUGGAUGCCUUGGCACUAGGAGCCGAAGAAGGACGGGACUAACACCGAUAUGCUUUGGGGAGCUGUACGUAAGCGUUGAUCCAGAGAUUUCCGAAUG
rnacentral:rRNA from 2 species